GGCCUGAUAGCUCAGGGGUUAAGAGCACUAGACAUGUAAUCCAGACAUAGUGGUCACUGAUUCAAAUCCAGCUCAGGUCA